rnacentral:rRNA from 1 species
GACGUAGGAGGCGAGCGUUGUCCGGAUUGACUGGGCGUAAAGCGCGCGCAGGCGGUUCUAUAAGACAGAUGUGAAAUCCCCGGGCUCAACCUGGGAACUGCAUUUGUGACUGUAGAGCUGGAGUGCGGCAGAGGGGGAUGGAAUUCCGCGUGUAGCAGUGAAAUGCGUAGAUAUGCGGAGGAACACCGAUGGCGAAGGCAAUCCCCUGGGGCCUGCACUGACGCUCAUGCACGGAAAGCGUGGGGAGCAAACAGG